UUCAGUGUCCUUGUCAGCUUCCUGGUUGGAGAGAAAGGAGGGAAAGCUUCAGAGAAUAGCCACAGCGCUCUGAACUCCCUCUUGUGGAGACACUCAUGUGAGGAGCUUUGUCUUUUAAGCAAUAUCAAACUUCACAUCCAAACAUUUUGCUAUUCAACUUUUGAAAUCCUGACUUCAUGGGAAUGAGGCAAGCACUAAGGAGUGUUACGGCACAAGAAGCAUUGGAAAUGUGAGACAGUCUGGCCGUGGGAGCUCAGUGCAGUUGUGUGACUUCAUCACCAGUAAGAGUUAACGUUGAAAAGAAAAUACUGCAAAUUCUACAUCAUCUAAUUCAGGAUGAAGAAACACCAUAAAGCUGCCUCCAGAGGCCCUCAUUUAUCAGUAGUUUCAAUCAUCAGAAGAAGAGGGCAGUGUCAGAGGAAGACAAGCAUUUUUCCUCAGAGUUCCCGUCCUAUCUUCAGUACUUGGAAUGCAGUCAAGGAGCCGCACUUUUCACAGCUUCUUGGCUUGGGGUCUUACCUAGAUCUACCACCACAUAGCAAGAUUAUGGAAACCUUUCCCACUGUAAAACCAGAGUACAGGACGGUGGCUGCACAGGCUGGCAUCCUGGAAUCAAUCUCUGGAACUCAUGCAGAAGUGAAAGCAGAGAACCUAUUCCACAGGGCUGGCCCUGGCCUAUGUGUCCCUCACCCACCCCAAGAGCAAUAAAUAAAAAUUUACAAAACAAAG